GCCCAAUUUCGCACGUGCCUGUGGUCGUGUGUCAGUCGGUAGGUAUCCGGACAAGAGGCCGGACAGCCGCCAAGGGGUGGAAGAACCGAGGGUCGCUCCCGUCAGUUAAGACGGACAAGGCGGCCAGCAUCUCUCUCCAGGGAUGCCGUUGAAGGUCUCGCCACUUCUUGCAACCGUGACUGGCAGCCGGAGGCGAACCGGCGCACCCCGCUCUCAACGGGGGACGCGACUUAAAGCAACGACGGAUCGGGCUUUU
rnacentral:sRNA from 2 species